rnacentral:lncRNA from 1 species
GGAAGACUCUAGGGACUGAAUUAACUUCAUAACCCAAUAUCCUAAAUUUGUUAUUCUGACCUACAGUAAAAAGUGUCUUAACUUUUACAGUGUGCAAAUACACACACACAAGCAAGCACACACACACAUUUGUGUGUGUACAUAUACACACAUACCUACAUACACACACACACAUCCCUACAUCCACACACCACAUACACAUACAUACACGUACACACAGACAUGCACACGUUGAAUACAUCCAGAAACACAUAUGCAUGCUUGUAUAUUGCCACACCCUCACACAGAUGUGUUCUAUAGACUAAACUUGCUCACUUUUAAAUCAACUGCUAUGUGGAAAGAAGAGAGAAUCCUAAUACAGCUAUCAAUUUUUUUCCCAGAAACACAAAGUCAGUGUUUUUCCAAGUUGCCUGAUAAGAAUCUCCUGGGGAUUGAGUCAUCUUCUGUAGACAAGGCACUCUGACUGUCUCCUCAACGACAUUAGCUGAAGACAGACAUUAAUCUUCAAGGAGAAGAGCAGCCUCGUGGGAAGGCUCCUGACUGAUUCACAGCCAGGACUAAUAGCGACAGCCAAGUGACCCAGUAUUUGACAGAAGGCUCUAGCCUCUCGCCUAGUAAAUUACUGAAUGCCUCUUUUUCCUACCCUCACCCUUCUUCCCUCGUCUGGAUCCCCAACGCCUGAGCCUGACAAGUGUCACACAGUCCUGUGCCCCAGACCUUCCAACAGGAUUCUUAUGGUCACUUGCUAGCAGCUUGUUCCCACACCUUAACACCCCCUAAAAACAAAAAAAAAAAAACAAAAAAACAAAAAAACCCACUACUUCUAAAAAGGAACCCAAAACCCUGUUACUUUCUUUCUUGGUUUUUGGUUGUUGUUGUUGUUGUUGUUGUUGUUGUUGUUGAGGCAGGGUCUCUCUACAUAGCCCUGGGUGUCCUGGAACUCAUUAUGUAGAUUGGGCUGGCCUUGAACUCACAGAUGUCCGCCUACUUCUGCCCCUCAGGAACUGCGCCACCCUGCCUUUAAAAUAUGUAUUUUCUUAUAAAAGUUCUACCUUCAUCCUGAAGAUUAUUGUCUUCAGGAAAGGUUAGAGGCACCAAUAAGAGGCACGUGACAAUGCCAGAUACGUUCUUGAUGUUUCUUAGUUUGCAAACACAAUUCUUAUAGCAUUGAAUUCCAGUGUCUUGGGGCCUUGUUAGCAGCUACUUAAUAGUCACCUCAUGCUAGGCUUACAAUCACCUUGGGUCUAAGUGGAACCUGGACUCAAAA